AGAAAGUGCAAUUACACAAUGAAAAGGGGCAAGCACACUGCAUAAAGAUGUAGAUGAGCUAAAGCUACAUGGAAGAGAUGGGACAGCAUGCCAUGGGGGGAGCAGCCCAGCAGGGGAGCCAGGCAGCUGUCUCCUGACUACUUUCUUGACUGGAAAACAUGGGAUGCCUCAGAAUGCUCCAUAUCUUUCAGAAAGAAGAACGAAAGAAGAUCCACUGGCUCCCUUUUAGGAAACUUUCUGGAAGUACCAUUCAACGCAGCUACUCACACUUCAUUUGCCAGCACGUGAUUACAGAGCAACGAUGUUUGUGAAGUGAAAUCAUUCAGUUUAGUGGCAAUGGGUUCACUGGAUAACUGGGGUUUUUUUAAUUAAAAGAAAAGUCAUAAUUGGCUAUUGGGGGGCUGUAAGUACGUGGAGUUGGGAUAAUACGACUGCCAUGUUGAGUUCUAGGAAAGGCCAUUCUGCUGUGGCUUUUGUUGUAUGCAAAUACCCGUCUCUCUGGCGAAACAGAAAGCAGCUAAUUUUGUUCAAGGAUGCCUCCUGUUUGGUUUCUUUUGUAACAAUCUCGAGAGUUCAAGUUUCC
rnacentral:lncRNA from 1 species